rnacentral:rRNA from 1 species
GGCCUUUACUGAUUUCCUCCUUUCUUGAAGAACUGUGAUGUCAUUUAUUUUGGUGUUGCAGGGAAACAGGACUGCUACUUCUGAAAAAAUUAGAGUCGUUUAAAGCAGGCUAACGCUUGAAUACAUUAGCAUGGAAUAAUGAAAUAGGACGUUUGAUCCUAUUUUGUUGGUUUCUAGGAUUGACGUAAUGAUUAAUAGGGAUAGUUGGGGGCAUUAGUAUUCAAUUGUCAGAGGUGAAAUUCUUGGAUUUAUUGAAGACUAACUACUGCGAAAGCAUUUGCCAAGGAUGUUUUCAUUAAUCAAGAACGAAAGUUAGGGGAUCGAAACGAUCAGAUACCGUCGUAUCUUAACCAUAAACUAUGCCGACAGGGAUCGGAUGAUGUUAAUUUUUUAAUGACUC